AUUGAACGCUGGCGGCAGGCCUAACACAUGCAAGUCGAACGGUAACAGGAUGUGCUUGCACAUCGCUGACGAGUGGCGGACGGGUGAGUAAUGCUUGGGAAUUUGCCUUUGCGAGGGGGAUAACAGUUGGAAACGACUGCUAAUACCGCAUAACGUCUACGGACCAAAGGGGGCUUCGGCUCUCGCGUGAAGAGAAGCCCAAGUGAGAUUAGCUAGUUGGUGAGGUAAAGGCUCACCAAGGCGACGAUCUCUAGCUGUUCUGAGAGGAAGAUCAGCCACACUGGGACUGAGACACGGCCCAGACUCCUACGGGAGGCAGCAGUGGGGAAUAUUGCACAAUGGGGGAAACCCUGAUGCAGCCAUGCCGCGUGUGUGAAGAAGGCCUUCGGGUUGUAAAGCACUUUCAGUUGUGAGGAAAGGUUAGUAGUUAAUACCUGCUAGCUGUGACGUUAGCAACAGAAGAAGCACCGGCUAACUCCGUGCCAGCCGCCGCCGUAAAAC
rnacentral:rRNA from 1 species